rnacentral:lncRNA from 10 species
CUUGUUUUCUUGCUCUCUGUCUCCUACCACCAGACCUCUGCCAAAUCUCUGCAGACAUCCAGCGAUCCAAAGCCUAAAGUGUGAGAACCACUGGCCCUAAAAAAGCGAUUUCAUAAUGAGGAACAUCAACACUUAUAUAUUCAGGAAGAAUUUUUAAUGAGAAAGUACAGCAGCUAUGUCCUCGCUUCUGCAACACAUGCACUAAAACUGGAAAGAAAGUAUAACAGCUUUACCACGCCCAAGCCAGACUUCUUUCAACCGCUACCCCGGGAAACCCCCACAACAAUUUCAACAUAUGCUCUACACCUGCCGAAAUAUUGAAGGAAGUGACAGAUUUCCACUGGAAACUAUUCUCUGACCCGUUUAUAUUAUUUCCCCUACUCAUCAAUUUACUGAAUUUACUUUACUUUAGGCUCUUAACAAUGGCUGAGAAGAAACAACCUACUUCAGAAAUUCAAGGGACUACCCGAAAUUGUCAAAACAGUUACUAAAGGGAUAAAAACUUCAGAAAUAUUGUUUACAAUAUAAGCAUUAUGAGAGUAAGUGUUACAAAGCUGAAAAGAUGGAACUAGUAACCCUCAUUUCAGUGCUACUGCCACGAGGCAGUUAGCACUCAAAAGGUGAACUGGUAACCACGUCAACAGCGAUGGAGUAACAAUAAGAGAUAGCCAAUGGAACUGGAAAAAGAGAGAAUACAGAGCAGAGCGAACAGCACAUUAAAAAUGCUUACCAGUUUGAAGUCUUGAAUGCUACAGAUGAAAUACAGUGUGUUUGGCCUCCAACUCUCGAUAUACACACAGUCUUUAAAAGAAAAAGAAAUUUUAACACAAUGGAAUUUACCUUUAAGGAACAAAGACAGGGCCCAUAAAGCCACUGCAUAAAUGACAAAGCAUAUAUCUUUUAUUGUAAAUUUUUUUCCAAAAGAUGAUAUUAAAUUGCAAACAUCUUUAGGCUAAAGGAAAACAGCCCUUUGGUUCUUUCUGAUUAUUUUUCUAAUAAUUUAAAGAAUCUGAUGAAGCCUAAAUUAUUUUCUUCAGAGUCCCUGAAGAAGGGGAGGAUUCCAAGGGAUUAUCUAUAUUCAGAUGAAGACAUUUAGAUAAAAGAAACCGCUUGCUCAAGAUCACACAUCAAGAUGAAAUCUUGAGUAUCUUAUUCAGAUAGAUGCUCACAUGUCUUCAAAAAAGAGAAACGUGCUACUAUAUUUGUAAUAAAUAUUUUGUGAGGAAAUAAAUUAAAUACGCAAAGAUGACUAGCUUGAACAUGCUACUACAAUGACCUUUUCAGCUAAUCAAAAAGAGAAAGAAAACUAAUCUCUUAUAGACAAUUUGCCAUUAAAUUGUACUCUAAACACAUUUUAUUUUCUAAUUGUAAACAAAACCAAUGCCACUAAUCAGAGAUGGAAUAAAGUAAACCAAACUGCAUUUUCUUCAGGGAAGAAGGGUGCUUUCUUAAAUUACAUUUGACAUGGCAGUGGUUGGAAAAUAAUUUUUGAUUCUCUCAAUGACUGGAGUGUAAAGCAUUGCUUUUUUUUUUUUUUUUUGGCUGGUCUCCAACUCCUGGGCUCAAGCAAUCCUCCCACCUCAGCCACCCAAAGUGUCAGGAUUACAGGCAUGAGCCACCAUGCUUGGCCAAGGUUGCUUUUUAAAAUGCCAUGUUAAGACACUUAAAUAAAAAGCAAUGAUUUUAAGGAAAGCAGUGGCUAUAGAGAGAGUUAACCUCCUCCUACCCCCAUAUCACAACCUGAGAUCAUCAUAAAGCUUAGGUCAGGAAAGUCUAUGUAUUAUUUAUUGAAAAGUAAAGGCACAGUCAAUCAAAUCUAGUAAGAGUGACCAUAAUGCCUCAUUCAUUCAUUCAUUUUGCAUAGACAGGGCCUCACUAUGUUGCCCAGGCUAGUCUCAAACUCUUGGGCUGAAGCUAUCCCCCUGCCUCGGCCUCCCAAAGUGCUGAUCUACCUAAUGCUAAAUGACGAGUUAAUGGGUGCAGCAUACCAACAUGGCACAUGGAUACAUAUGUAACAAACCUGCACAUUGUGCACAUGUACCCUAAAACUUAAAGUAUAAUAAUAAAAAAAAAGAGUUAACAUAUUUUGUUCCUUUCCCAUGAUUUAGAUGUGCAUACGCCCUAAACAAGCAAUCUGUGGUAACUCUGAUUCUUCAGUCACUAAGAAAUUCUUACUGCCCAAUAGCUGAGUCUAAAUCAAAGAUAAAUACAGACAGUACUGUAACCUACACACAUCAUUUAAUCCUCACAGCAGAUUUUUAACUGCUCUAAAACCUCCACUCUGAUCAAUUUAUAUCACACGAAUACCUUCUCAGUUAAUCUUCAACCAAGAAAUUGUAGUUGUGAAUGCAAAUUUGUCUGUAUUAAGUUCUAGCACUGACUUUUUUGUGUGUGGGGGGGAGAGGGGUGGAGAUAGGGUUUUGCUCUGCUGCACAGGCUGGAGUGCUAUAAUGUGAAUGGGGCUUACUGCAGCCUUGCCCUCCUGAGCUCAAGAGAUUCUUCUACCUCAGCCUCCUGAGUAGCCGGGACUACAGUCUCAUCACACUCCCAGCUAAUUUUUUACUGUUUUGUAGAGAUACGGUCUCACUAUGUUGCCCAGGCAGGUCUCCACAUUGCUCAAGCAAUCCUCCCGCCACCUCAGCCUCUCAAAGUGCUGGGAUUACAGUCAUGAGCCACUGCGCUCAGCCCCACUGACAUCUUUUGAAAUUUAAAAAACUCCUGUGUGGGAGAAUGAAAAUCUGGAACUUGAUGUGAAGUUCAGAACAGUAACAGCAUUCCUCAGUAAAAUGAUUGUUCCAGAUUAUGGACAUAACACAGUAAAGCAUUUUAAUCUCUUUCUCAGAAAAACAUAAAAAUGGGCAGCUUUAAUCUGCUAAUUACAUCUCAUAUGAAAUUCAUGUCACUCUUCAACAGUAAAAGUAACUCAAACAAAAUGAUUUCACCUAGGUUUUACUGGCUUCUGUAAGAAAAUAUCUUGUUUUUUUUUUUUUUUUUUCUUUUGAGACAGGGUCUUGCUCUGUCGCCCAGGCUAGAAUGCAGUGGUGCAAUCAUGGCUCACUACAGCCUCGACCUCCCAGACUCAAGUGAUGCUCCUGCCUCAGCCUCCUGAGUAGCUAGGACUACAGGUGUAUGCCACCAGGCCCAGCUAAUUUGUAAAAAUUUUUUGUAGAGAUGAGGUCUCACCAUGUUACCCAGGCUGGUCUUGAACUCCUGGGCUCAAGCAAUCCUUCUGUCUCCGCCUCCCAAAGUGCUGGGAUUACACUGUGCCCAGCCUAAAAAAGGUGUCUUAAUACACACAAUACAUCAAAUGAAAAGGAAAGGCUUUGCUAGUGUUCAACAGGUUUUGACUCACUUGUUUCCCUGAUCUCAUCUAAAAGUUGAGUCUGUCUUUUUUUGAGCAAUGCUGUAAGCCACAAUAUACUGGCAUGACCAUAAUACAUUUUCCGGAAAACCAAGCAGGUUAGAUGACUUCUUCUAUUAUCGUUGAUUAGAGAGCCUGAAGCUCAAAUUUUUGGAAAAGGAAGUUAGCAGGAGCAAUAAAUCUCUGAUCUUCAGGCCUUUUUUUUUUUCUUUUUU